rnacentral:rRNA from 1 species
UACGGGGGGAGCAAGCGUUGUUCGGAUUUACUGGGCGUAAAGCGCACGUAGGCGGAUCAGUCAGUCAGGGGUGAAAUCCCGGGGCUCAACCCCGGAACUGCCUUUGAUACUGCUGGUCUUGAGGUCGAGAGAGGUGAGUGGAAUUCCGAGUGUAGAGGUGAAAUUCGUAGAUAUUCGGAGGAACACCAGUGGCGAAGGCGGCUCACUGGCUCGAUACUGACGCUGAGGAGCGAAAGCGCGGGGAGCGAACAGG